AGAGAUAUAGCUCAGUGGCAGAGUACUUGCUUAGCAUGUGCAAGACUCUGGGUUCAAUCCCCAGCAUCACCA
rnacentral:tRNA from 1 species